GCUCAUCAAUCUUGUGGUGGAAGGCCAUAAGGGACCUAAGACAUACUCUAAUUGAACUUCAGGACUGUCCUGACUUUUUUUAGCUCUAUGAUGUAGUCCAGUACCAGUGGCAAGGGAGAGGUUUCAGCUGUGGCAUGUUUAUUGUCACACCAGGUCUGGAAUCUCUUCCAUUUCUGCAGGUAAAUAUAUUGCAUCGUUGAUCUUCUGCUAUUUCAUAGCAUCUCCUUUACAUCUUGAGAACAGGUCAUUUGAUAUUCUGGAGCCAUGCUUUCACAUGGAGAAUCUUAAGGUUCGGAUGGUGCAUCUGGCCUGCAUCUGAGACAGGAGAUGUGGAACUGGGUGAAGAAUGACUGGUGGACAUACCACCAUCCAUAAGAGGUGUGUAGAGACUUAAAGACUGAAGAAUUGCCCUAGAAUCUCUUAAAGAACGGGGAGAUUCAUCCGUCUUGUCCGCAAACAAUUUGGAUUCUUCAAAGGGAAUAUCCUGUACCUCUUUUGGAAACCCCAAGAGGUGGAGCCAUGACACCCUUCACAUGACUACAGCUGUAGAAAUAGAUCAUGCAGCUAUAUCAGCUGCAUCCAAGGAAGCUUGUAAAGUUGUCCUAGCCAGAAGGUGAACCUUGGAGAUAAUUGCCUGGAAUUGUUCUUUUUUGUCAUCAGGAAAGUAAUCAAAUUCAUUCCGCUUUGAA